GGAGUAAAUAAAAUGUUUCAGAUUUAGAAAUCAUUUUUCAAAAUCGUUUUUGAAUAAAACUGUUAACACAAUUUUCAGCCUUUUGUUCCACGUGCUUAAUUUAUUUCAAUAAUGAAUAAAUAAUAAUAAAAAUAUAAGUCUUGAUAAUUGCGUUUUUCAGCUUCCUACAUAUCCGUAUGAAUGGUACGUAUAUACAAAAUACGCCUAUUGUUGUAAAAUCAAUACACGAGUACCUACCUAAUAUUUCCUACUGAAUCAUCAAUUUAAUCAUUUUUCAAUUAUUAAAUAAUUAGAAGCUGUACUACAAAUCUACGAAUGUCUCAUGAGUUAUGUUAAAAAAUGUUGGGCCAUUUUGUGUUACGUUGACCGUCUAUAUUUGCUGUACAUAUACUAAAAUAUUGACUGCUAAGUGAUGAAAAAAUCAUAUUGUACAUAAAUGGGUAAACUUGACGGUUAUGCAUCUGCAGAAUACCAGAC